CCUACGGGAGGCAGCAGUGGGGAAUAUUGCACAAUGGGGGAAACCCUGAUGCAGCGACGCCGCGUGAGUGAAGAAGUAUUUCGGUACGUAAAGCUCUAUCAGCAGGGAAGAAAAUGACGGUAACUGACUAAGAAGCCCCGGCUAACUACGUGACAGCAGCCGCGGUAAUACGUAGGGGGAAAGCGUUAUCCGGAUUUACUGGGUGUAAAGGGAGCGUAGACGGCAGCGCAAGUCUGGAGUGAAAUCCCAUGGCUUAACCAUGGAACUGCUUUGGAAACUGUGCAGCUAGAGUGCAGGAGAGGUAAGCGGAAUUCCUAGUGUAGCGGUGAAAUGCGUAGAUAUUAGGAGGAACACCAGUGGCGAAGGCGGCUUACUGGACUGUAACUGACGUUGAGGCUCGAAAGCGUGGGGAGCAAACAGGAUUAGAUACCCGGGUAGUC
rnacentral:rRNA from 1 species